UUAAUUAAACAACCUGUUCCCGACAUAUAAUAAUAGUGUCUUACAAUAGCAUAAGCAAGUUUUCAAAAUAAAUACGCACACUUAAACAGUGGCAAAAACAGGGUUUUAGUAACAGAGUUUUCAGAUAACAAAGAAGACUCAAGCAUAAACUACUGAGAGGAAAACUAUACAGCUUUUUCAAUCUUGCUCCGCCGGUUACUAUCCCUCCUCUAUCUCAGCAUGACUAAGCAUCGCCAGAAGGCUCUUCAUCGCCUAAUAGCGAUAAGCGCCCAAAUAACAAGUAGCAAAUAGAAAGGGUUAACUCCAUGCAACUACCACAUAUAAAGGAGAAAAUCAUGUUAUUCAAAUUUAAUUACCUAGCAUGGUAAAUAAACUAGCAACUUAAGUUAAUCCGGAUAUCAACAAAACCAGCAAUAUAACUAAACUCAUAUAUCAACAACUUAACAUAGAUUAGCUCAGAUAAUAAUAACCUCAACAAUAUAACAUCAAAUUAGAUAUCAAUAAACCAAUAACUAAAAUCCAACAACAUAGGGUCAGAUGUUAGUUCCCUAUAAUGCAACUAUAUGCUUCUACCAAAAUGGAUCGAUCAAUAACGUCUCACAAGACGGGACAAUCACGCGGGACCACACCCACCUCAUCGCCACUUAGCGCCACUAUGGACUGGACAAUCGCGUGGGACCACACCCACCUCAUCGCUACUUUAGAACAUCUCGAAAGAUGGGACAAUCCCGUGGGACCACACCCACCUCAUUGCCACUUUAUAACGUCUCGAAAGACAGGACAAUCACGCGGGACCACACCCACCUCAUUGUCACUUUCCCUAUAUGCCAAGUCAGUCAACAACAAUUUUCAAACCAAUAAUCAACUCAGAAUAACCACAUGUUAUUCAUAAUUUCAGCAAUAAUCAAUGGCCGAAGCC
rnacentral:lncRNA from 1 species